rnacentral:rRNA from 1 species
UCCUGUUGAUCCUGCAGGAGAUUGCUGCUAUCAGGGUUCGACUAAGCCAUGCAAGUCCAGGGGAGUUUCGGCUCACCGGCAUACUGCUCAGUAACACGUUGAUAAUCUGCCCUUUGGUCUGGGAUAACCUCGGGAAACUGAGGCUAACACCGGAUAGAAAACCAGUUCUGGAAAGAGGGAUUUUUCUAAAGGCAACGCCAGAGGAUGAGUCAGCGGCAGAUUAGAUUGUUGGUGGGGUAAAGGCCCACCAAGUCUACGAUCUGUAGGGGCCUUGAGAGAGGGAGCCCCGAGAAGGGAACUGAGACACGGUCCCUAGCCCUACGGGGUGCAGCAGGCGCGGAACCUCUACAAUGCACGAAAGUGUGAUAGGGGGACCCUGAGUGCUCAGCUAUGCUGGGCUUUUGCCAAGAUUAAAACCCUUGGCGAAUAAGUGGUGGGUAAGACUGGUGCCAGCCGCCGCGGUAACACCAGCGCCACGAGUGGCAAUCGCUAUUAUUGGGCCUAAAGCGUCCGUAGCAGGUUUUGAAAAUCUCUUGUGAAAUUGUUCAGCUCAACUGAGCAACGAGCAUGAGACACUACAUAACUAGGGACCGGGAGGAGUCAGAGGUAUUCAAUGGGGAGCGGUAAAAUGCUAUAAUCCAUUGAGGACCACCUAUGGCGAAGGCAUCUGACCAGAACGGAUCCGACUGUGAGGGACGAAAGCCAGGGGAGCGAACCGGAUUAGAUACCCGAGUAGUCCUGGCUGUAAACGCUGCGAGCUAGGUGUUGCGCAAUCUUCGAGAUUGUGCAGUAUCGAAGCGAAGGUGUUAAGCUCGCCGCCUGGGAAGUACGGUCGCAAGCUGAAACUUAAAGGAAUUGGCGGGGGAGCACUACAAGGGGUGCGGCGUGCGGUUUAAUCUAACUUUACACAGAGAAUCUCACCAGAAGCGACGGCACUGUGAAGGUCAGGCUAAAGGUCUUACCUGAGGAGCCGAGAGGUGGUGCAUGGCCGCCGUCAGCUCGUGCCGUAAGGUGUCCAUUUAAGUAUGGUAACGAGCGAGACCUAUGCUUACAAUUGCUAGCGGGCCCUUUUGGGUGACUGAGCACAUUGUAGGGACUGCCGUGGUAACGCGGAGGAAGGUGUAGGCUACGGUAGGUCUGUAUGCCCCGAAUCUUCUGGGCUACACGCGCGCAACAAUGGUAGGGACAAUGGGAUACGACUCCGAAAGGAGAAGUUAAGCCUCGAAACCCUACCUCAGUUCAGAUUGAGGAUUGUAACCCAUCCUCAUGACGCUGGAAUCCCUAGUAAUCGGGUGUUAUCAGCACCCGGUGAAUACGUCCCUGCUCCUUGCACACACCGCCCGUCAAACCACUCGAGCAGGGUUUAGAUGAGGCUUGGUUUUUUGAUCAAUUCGAAUCUAAGCUCAGUGAGAAGGGUUAAGUCGUCACAAGGUA